rnacentral:lncRNA from 1 species
GGGCAACCAUCAUUUCUUCCAACUGAAAUUCAAAGUACAAAACUACAAAACAAGAACCAAAUUGCAAACUCAAAACAACUGUUAACAGAAAGAAGCUCGGAUUUUGAAAAGAAUUUUUUUUUUAAAAAAAAGGAAACUUUGAACUGUAAUUGAGCUAAAGAAUGGAAACGUAAGUGCUCAUAAAGAAAUAGUAUCAGUGGAUUGUUUAUACAAUUAACUAAAAUCAGAAGAUUUUGAGGGGAAUGGCUACUAGGGCUUUGAAACUGUGAAGGAAUUGGAAUUUGUAUUCUGAUCGUGGAGGGGGAACUUGUGUUUGUAUUAGGGUUUGCAGUUCAACACAAAUCGCAGUCGCAAUACGCAUUUAAAAUCGCAAUCAAAUAUCACAAUCAACAGUCACAGUCAAAGAUUGCAUUAUCUCUGUAUACAA